GGAAGGGUUAAGCUGGAACUCAGGGGAUGUUCAAGCUCUCUCUCACUGGAUGUAGACCUGGGGAGAGUAACUGCCAAGUCCUGAGGUUUCUGAUGUUGUCCAUGCUGCUGUCCUUCUUGCUGCGUUUCCUUGGAAGAAGAUCCUUUGAACCUAACGCUAACCUGAACCAGCAUCCAGCUAUCUGCAUUAUCAAAAAAAAAGAAAAGAAGGGCUGCAGUAAUCCUAUGGAAGAACAUGGAUAAGAGUCCAUAUAGUUAGGCAAGAAUAGGUAGUGAUAUGCAUCUUUGGAGAGAACAUCUAAUUUGAGGUAAUAGUAAAACAUGGGUUUUCCAUCUGCUUUCCGUUGCUUUUACUAUAUAAUCAACAUAUUUUUUCUGCUUCCCGUCCCUGAGAAUUUGCACAAAACAAUCUGUCACUGUUUUCAAGAUUAUGUCACAUCCAGCCUGGUUUUACUCAGUGAGUCCAUGGUCUGGUCCAGCAACUCUUCGGGAUUUCAUCUUCUUAAGUACCCUUCAAUUUCAUCAUGUAGUACUUUGGGGAUUGAGGUGUUACAGUUCAAAUGUGGUGAUUCCUCUGUCACUGAUGAUGAAAAUAGAUUGUUACAGAAAUCUUGACAAAUGUGUUCCAUUCUGUGUCUGUUGUCCUCUUUCCAGUUUCAUCUCUACAUGGUAUUGGAAUGAUGUAACUCAACAGGGUUUCAUGCCAAAGUUUCUUUAGAUUUGUUUUUGCUCUCUUGCUUUUUGUUGGUUUAUGAGGCAUUACUUCUUAUAAUCUUUUGCCAUAGUUCUCCAUUGUAUUUCACAAAUAAGUUUAUAUUCUAUACUAAUGUUGCCCUUGGCUGCAAGUCUCUCUGUUUGGCAAAGAGAUUAAAUGUUUUCUGGCUAUAA